UGUUCCCCAUCAUUUCUACGAACAACGAGAGAGAAACACCAUCGGCGCCGCACAACACUCCAGCCCUCCGAGUUCGUUCUCCGGCCAUUACGCCCAACGGCGAGUGAAACCCUGAAGGGUUUCAAAUUUCUUGAUGAACCGAUGAGGUUAGUCGAAUAUGCAGGUGGAGCGGAUGAUUUUUUUCUGACGGAUUCCGAUAAGUUCAAGACCAUGAUCGAUUAAGAAGAUUGAUCAUUGAUUUUAACAUUUAACUUCCAGUCAUGGGUUUAGCUUUCAUAUGGAAUUCUAUUUUAUUAUGAAUAUAAAUAUAUAAUUGUUAGGCAAAUUUAUAUGGCUGCUUUUCUUUUUGCUAGCUCCUAUGUUAUACUAUGUAAUUGACAGAAUUGGGUUUUAGAUUUUGAGAAGAAUAGCACUUAAUAAGUUAGAAUAUGGAAUAAUUUAUGAUGAUGCGCAUACUUGAGCAAAUGAAGUACGAAGUAGGAUUAAAAGGAUGACAAUAGGGCUAUUCCUCUGCUAAUAUGUAUUGGGAUAUUGUUUUACUUAGUCAAGUAUGAUUACAUUCAAGUUGAUGAUAUAAUCUUUGACUAACCAAGAUCAAAAUGUAGUAUACAAAGCGGCCAUUUAUAGAAAUAUAGAAUUAAUUUCAAAAGUUUAGUACCCUAGAUUAAUGAAAGUAAAAAGGGCUUGAGAAGAGGCAGGGAUUGCCACGGUAUCAGUUAUCAGGGAAUUACCUCUUUCUCUCACUUUAAAGCAAUUGAAGACUGCCUUUUCCCCUAAGCUACAGUAUGACACAUAAAUAUGAAAUCCAUGGACUUUUUUUUUGUAAUCUGGACAAAGUAUUAUAAUGUCAGACUCUAAUUACUUCCCGCUUAUCUUAAUUUUUAUGCAGUUUCUAAAGGAUGAUUUACGUCGGAUAGCAAGAUAAUAAAUGAAGAUAAGUCUUAGAAAUAUAGGUGUUGUACUAUUCUUGGUUUCAUUUUGUGUUUUCUUUUUAUUGAUUUCAGUUAUGAAGCCUUAUGAGCAAGUAGCUGAUGCAGAGGCUUUGUUUGACAUUACAAGCGGUUUUGUGAAAUCUGUCAAGAAACAAAAAAAAUAUGACGGAGUGACUCCAUCAGAAUUUGGAUUAUGGUCGGCAAGGUAGAGCUACAAGUAGUUUAGAUGAUUCGGAAACUCGAUGAUUUGGAACCUGUAUACGGGACAGAUGGUUGAUUUGGUUCCUUGGUGCCUGCCAAACAUUGCAGAAAGGCACAACCAAUGGAAGGGUCUGUUUGGAAGGUUGGGUUGGGAAGGAAACUUUCACAACUUGUGGGCAAAGUUGGGAUGCGCUUUCAUCCUGAUCAGGAUAGGAUAGUCACAGUUCGUGAAUGUGCUCGAUCUCAAAUAGCUACAAAUUUGCUGGAAACAUCCAACACAGGCACCGGCAGAUUGGUAAUUAAUGCAGUUCCGCCUUUGCAUUGGGUAGGAAACUCAAAGAAGCUGCUGAGAGGAAAUGCUGAGUCUUACAAUAUAAUGUCAAGUUCAGUGCUGGUAAAUUCCUUAGCUAUAGCAUUGAUAGUCCACAAAAAUUAUAAAUAGUGCAAUUAACCCUCAUAGAUUACACAAAUUAAGAACUUUGUAUGAAUUGAGAAAUUGAUUUUGAUAAGAUGAAUGAUCUUCAGCUCGU